GACGUAGGGCGCGAGCGUUGUCCGGAUUUAUUGGGCGUAAAGCGCACGUAGGCGGCUUAGCAAGUCGGAAGUGAAAUCCCUCGGCUCAACCAAGGAAGUGCUUUCGAAACUGCUGAGCUUGAGUACUUAAGAGGAUCGCGGAAUUCCCGGUGUAGAGGUGAAAUUCGUAGAUAUCGGGAGGAACACCAGUGGCGAAGGCGGCGAUCUGGGAAGAUACUGACGCUGAGGUGCGAAAGCGUGGGGAGCAAACAGG
rnacentral:rRNA from 1 species